CAUGCCGCGUGUGUGAAGAAGGUCUUCGGAUUGUAAAGCACUUUAAGUUGGGAGGAAGGGUUGUAGAUUAAUACUCUGCAAUUUUGACGUUACCGACAGAAUAAGCACCGGCUAACUCUGUGCCAGCAGCCGCGGUAAUACAGAGGGUGCAAGCGUUAAUCGGAAUUACUGGGCGUAAAGCGCGCGUAGGUGGUUUGUUAAGUUGGAUGUGAAAUCCCCGGGCUCAACCUGGGAACUGCAUUCAAAACUGACUGACUAGAGUAUGGUAGAGGGUGGUGGAAUUUCCUGUGUAGCGGUGAAAUGCGUAGAUAUAGGAAGGAACACCAGUGGCGAAGGCGACCACCUGGACUGAUACUGACACUGAGGUGCGAAAGCGUGGGGAGCA
rnacentral:rRNA from 1 species